GAUGGCUGGGAAUUGAAGGAAUUGAACUCA
rnacentral:piRNA from 1 species